rnacentral:rRNA from 1 species
UCUGCAACCCGACUCCACGAAGUUGGAUUCGCUAGUAAUCGCGCAUCAGCCAUGGCGCGGUGAAUACGUUCCCGGGCCUUGUACACACCGCCCGUCAAGCCAUGGGAGCCGGGGGCGCCUGAAGUCCGGGACCGCGAGGACCGGCCUAGGGCGAAACUGGUGACUGGGGCUAAGUCGUAACAAGGUAGC